UACGUAGGGUGCGAGCGUUAAUCGGAAUUACUGGGCGUAAAGCGUGCGCAGGCGGUUUGCUAAGACCGAUGUGAAAUCCCCGGGCUCAACCUGGGAACUGCAUUUGUGACUGUAGAGCUGGAGUACGGCAGAGGGGGAUGGAAUUCCGCGUGUAGCAGUGAAAUGCGUAGAUAUGCGGAGGAACACCGAUGGCGAAGGCAAUCCCCUGGGCCUGUACUGACGCUCAUGCACGAAAGCGUGGGGAGCAAACAGG
rnacentral:rRNA from 1 species